GAAAUGCGAUAAGUAAUGUGAAUUGCAGAAUUCAGUGAAUCAUCGAAUCUUUGAACGCACAUUGCGCCCGCCAGUAUUCUGGCGGGCAUGCCUGUUCGAGCGUCAUUACAACCCUCAGGCCCCCGGGCCUGGCGUUGGGGAUCGGCGGAAGCCCCCUGCGGGCACAACGCCGUCCCCCAAAUACAGUGGCGGUCCCGCCGCAGCUUCCAUUGCGUAGUAGCUACACCUCGCAACUGGAGAGCGGCGCGGCCACGCCGUAAAACACCCAACUUCUGAAUGUUGACCUCGAAUCAGGUAGGAAUACCCGCUGAACUUAAGC
rnacentral:misc_RNA from 1 species